GACGAACGCUGGCGGCGUGCCUAACACAUGCAAGUCGAGCGAAUGAAAUUCCUUCGGGAAUGGAUUUAGCGGCGGACGGGUGAGUAACACGUGGGCAACCUGCCUCAUAGAGGGGAAUAGCCUUCCGAAAGGGAGAUUAAUACCGCAUAAGAUUGUAGUACCGCAUGGUACAGCAAUUAAAGGAGCAAUCCGCUAUGAGAUGGGCCCGCGGCGCAUUAGCUAGUUGGUGAGGUAACGGCUCACCAAGGCGACGAUGCGUAGCCGACCUGAGAGGGUGAUCGGCCACAUUGGGAAUGAGACACGGCCCAGACUCCUACGGGAGGCAGCAGUGGGGAAUAUUGCACAAUGGGGGAAACCCUGAUGCAGCAACGCCGCGUGAGUGAUGACGGCCUUCGGGUUGUAAAGCUCUGUCUUCAGGGACGAUAAUGACGGUACCUGAGGAGGAAGCCACGGCUAACUACGUGCCAGCAGCCGCCGUAA
rnacentral:rRNA from 1 species